UACGUAGGGGGCAAGCGUUGUCCGGAUUUAUUGGGCGUAAAGAGCGUGUAGGCGGUUUGGUAGGUCCGUUGUGAAAACUCGAGGCUCAACCUCGAGACGCCGAUGGAAACCAUCAGACUAGAGUCCGGAAGAGGAGAGUGGAAUUCCUGGUGUAGCGGUGAAAUGCGCAGAUAUCAGGAAGAACACCCGUGGCUAAGGCGACUCUCUAGUACGGUACUGACGCUGAGACGCGAAAGCGUGGGGAGCGAACAGG
rnacentral:rRNA from 1 species